UACAGAGGGUGCAAGCGUUGUUCGGAAUUAUUGGGCGUAAAGCGCGCGUAGGCGGCUUUGCAAGUCGGGUGUGAAAUCCCUCAGCUUAACUGAGGAAGUGCGCUCGAAACUGCAGAGCUUGAGUACUAAAGAGGAUGGCGGAAUUCCCCAAGUAGAGGUGAAAUUCGUAGAUAUGGGGAGGAACACCGGUGGCGAAGGCGGCCAUCUGGGUAGUCACUGACGCUGAGGCGCGAAAGCGUGGGUAUCAAACAGG
rnacentral:rRNA from 1 species